AACUCAGGCCCAAGUCACAGGAAUCUGAAUGGUGGGGUGACCUUCUCCUCUAGUUUAAUUUCAUUGCAAUACUGAGAAACUUCAACUGUUUUGUCUUUAGAAGGGAAAUUCAUGUUUGUGCCAGGCCAGCCUUUGUAAAAGCCUUUGAUUGGAUUCACUAGAAGUCUGUCUUCCCGCAGUACAUAUACUGUGAAUUUUCUCCUUCGGCAUUUCAACCACUUGGAAUGGCCACUAAAGUGGCUUUUGAUCUAAAGUAAACUCUGAUUCUGUGUUGAUGGGGAACCAUUUCUCUCUAACAUGGUGGUUUCUUUAAGAUGUUUGACUUGGGCCACAUGAGAAUAACAGAUCUUUGGGCAGUCCAAGCAAGAGCCUCCUGAUCUAGCAGCCAAGACUCCCCCUGACCUUUGGCCAUGUACCCCAACCCUCUCAUCUACUGCACCUGCUGGGACCCCUGGAACUUGGGACCACGGAAGCUAAUCAAGACCCCUCAACUACCACGCAAGAACUCCACAGGGAGUUCCAAGCUAACUCCUCUUGUACCAGCUCCAAAAAAUCACAAUUACCUCCAACCAACAAAACCUGUUGUUUCCCCAAAAAUGAAAAUCCAUUCAGCAAGGCAAGAAGAGACUAAUAAAUCAUUUUAUGUGAGUAAAGGCAGGAGAGGGCGGUGGGACUAAAAUUUAUUGAGUGCCUACUAUGUGCAAGCAUGGGCCCUUUACAUUUUUAUACUUACCUUGUCGAAUCUUCACAAAGAUCCUGGGAGGAGGUGCUGUUAAUAUUGCACAUUAUGCACGGCAGGAAGUGAUCAACGUGUCACCUGGCUAUCAACUUGUUCGGAAUCGGGAACAGAUUUCUGUCACCUUAGGGGAUGAGAUGUUUGAUAGGAAAAAGCGGUGGGAAUCGGAGAUCCCGGACAAAGGCAGAUUUUCCAGGACCAACAUCAUUUCUGACCUAGAAGAGCAAAUCUCAGAGCUGACAGCAAUAAUUGAACAAAUGAACAGAGACCACCAGUCUGCCCAGAAAUUGGGAGCUCAAAGAGGCCCAUGAAGCAGAACUCAGUGAGUUGGAGAACAACUACAAAGCAGCCUUGAAGGCAGAGAAGUUGGCUGCCCAAGAGAAGCUAGAGGAGAUGGGAAAAGAAUACAAGUAUUUGAAGAAUAUGUUUCGUACGUAUCAGGACAGUAUUUAUGAUGAAAUGGAAGAGAAGUGGUCAAAACAGAAGGCGAAAUGGAAGAAGGAUGAGAAGUUCGAGCGAGAAAAUAUCCUGCUACAGCAAAAAAAAAAGAUGACCAAAAAAUUCGAAAUGGAGUCAGGAGAAGAAGAUAAGAAAAUAAAUGAAUCCUGCAGUGCUGUCUUUGAGAACUUCAUUCAAGAGAAGGAGGAGCUCUUGAAACAACAUCAAAGUGACACCUUGCAAUUAGAAGAGCUGAGAAAAACCAAAGAGUCCAGGUGCCCUGGAGAAGAGACCAAAUAAAUAGACAUUGGCAUGAUGUCCUGCAACAGCUUCUUCUUAUGCAGGUCAUGCAGGAAGAAUUGCAUGCACAAGCCCUUAUCCUAGAGUCACUGAACACAAACCUCUACUAUACCCAGUUGGAACUCCAGAAAGAGAAAGCUAUAGUGGGAAAUCUGGAGAAAAUGCUUCAAACCAAGUUUGCUGAAACUGAAGAAAAGUAUAAGCACACCAUACAGAUCCUGACGGAAGAGAACAUUCAUCUGAAGCAAAAGAUAAUUUCUAAGAAUGAAGAAAUUUGUGAAGGAUGUUCUGGGAGAUUGGCCUCUAUUACUGUUUCUAAGGAUGAUUCUGACACUGUGCAAGAUGGUAGCAAGAAAGGACAAGAAUCAUAAACAAAAAGUUGCUCUGCAUUGUUGAAGAUGGUUGGCACACCAUUUCUGUAGGCCCAGGAAACUCCUGGGAGGGUUUUCUUGAGAAAAUGCAUAUAAUGAGUUUAGUUCUUGGGUUGCUCUGACUCUCUGAAUGUCUGAAAAUGUUUGAAUUCGCAUCUGAAUUUCACAGCUUAUCACGGACUCUUCACUGAAAAAUGAUGCUCUCCAUACUGGGAGCUGAGCUUUCUCUG
rnacentral:lncRNA from 1 species